GUUGAACGCUGGCGGCAGGCCUAACACAUGCAAGUCGAGCGCGAAAGUUCUUCGGAAUGAGUAAAGCGGCGGACGGGUGAGUAAUACAUGGGAAUCUGCCUGGUAGUGGGGGACAACGUUUCGAAAGGAACGCUAAUACCGCAUACGCCCUACGGGGGAAAGGGGGGGAGUCUUCGGACCUCUCGCUAUCAGAUGAGCCC
rnacentral:rRNA from 1 species